CUCCUUUCCCCCAGAUUUGCUUCCUGAGGGACCUCAGUAAUCUGGCCUCCAAUGCAGCUGAAUCCAGCUUUCUGCCUGCCCAUGGACCCUGCUUUUCUGCUCUUCCUCCUCCUUACACUCAGGAAGCUCCAUCUUUUCCUUUCUCCUUCCUUCCUUUGCUUGCUUGCUUGCUGGCACUCAUAGCCCUUUCUGCCCUGCUAGUAGGAUUUAAUCCAGUCCUCACUUCUGUUUCCUGCAACUUUUUAAAAGAGUCACCAACUCAUCCUAGCUUUUUCCACCUAAUCCUUUGCCCUCCUGUAUUCCUUAGUGGUUGCAUAGUUAAAAGCCUUCUUCCCCACUUCCAUGGAUCCCUUCAUCUGUUGCAUUCCUGCAGAAACUAAUCAUCCUGGUUUGGGGAUCACUGUGGAGCCCCUGACAUGGCAGUACCCUUGCUGAUUCCUUAUUUCAUUGAUCCAUUCUUCAACAUGGCUCCAGUAACAUUUGCACUGGCAGAACCAAGGGGACCAUAAACUGCAUAAUUCAUCUGAGAAGAAAAUGAUUCUGCCUCACAGAAAAAGCUACAAAACAAAAUACAGUUUAGAUGACUGCAGGACUUUCAACUUUGUGCUUACAUACCAGAAGCUUUUUCCAGAACAGAAUGAAUUAAAAGAAAACAGCAGUAAACCAAUAUAAAAUAUUUGCAUAACGUACAUAGCACUCUGCAAAUCCUAAUGAAAGAGGUUCCUCUUAGCCAAAAUAGAGGGCAGAUGAAAUUCUCUAUGUUUUUUAAAAAAGAGGAAGAAAAAGAUGAAGAAGAAGAAGAAGAAAUGAGAGAGAGAAAGAAGUAGACUAUAGCAACUGAUUUUCUACGGGAAAGAGAAAGGAGCAACUUGAGGCAGCACGUGGAGAGCCCACUUUUGCCCUAUUCAUUUGCCAGGCUAAUGAUUUCACCGUAUCUGAUAGCAUGACUCACCAACUGAUGGUCAGACUGUUCAUUGCACCUUGUAAAUGAAAUAACUAUUCAGCUUCUAGCAAGCUAGUUUUCCUCAUCAAAGUCAUCACCUUCUGAGCCAGAAGGACAAGAGUACAAUCCAAACCACUUGGCUGUGGGAAGGAAAUGUGAGACAGAAUGGGUAGCAGUAAAAGAGAAGAGAGGGAAGAAAGUCAGUUUUUUUCCUUUCAUUAUGCUCUACUGAGAUAUUUAAAGUUUAUUAGGAGCAGGAUCCAUCAGGUUGUUAAAAGGGUUCGAAACCUGGCUGGACUUCCUCUGCUUUGCUUUGAUGACCAACCGCAACAUCAGGAGAAGGGGAAGGAGGAGGACAGCAGCCUUUGGCACCAUUACCAUAAACUGUGCAAAUUCUUGCAUAGACAGGACUGUGGCUGUACCUGACUUACCGACACUUCAUUUAAGACUUGGAUGUGGUAUAUGAAGGCAGAGACAGAUAUACU
rnacentral:lncRNA from 1 species